rnacentral:rRNA from 1 species
AUGACGGAUGCCAUAUCAAGAUACUGGUGGGGUGACAACGAUAACCAUAAGAGUACACAUUGGGCGGCAUGGUGGAAACUUUGUAUUCCGAAGAACAAAGGGGGAAUGAGAUUUAAGGAUCUACAUAGCUUCAAUCUCGCUUUGUUUGCCAAGCAAGUAUGGAGACUGUUGGAGAAUCCAGAUUCCUUGUGUGAGCAGGUCCUAAGAUCAAAAUAUUACCCAGACGGGAAACUUCUGGAAGCAAAGAUGAAGAGUGGAUGUUCCUUCACAUGGAAGAGUAUAUGUGAUGGUAUUCAUACUUUCAAAAGAGGGGCUAUUUGGAGGAUUGGAGAUGGUUCACAAGUUAAUAUUUGGUCUGACCCAUGGAUAGCAGCGAGUGCGGAUGGACGUGUAGUCACCCCGAGAGGAGAAAACCUGUUGUCGAAGGUUUCUGACCUGAUCGACCCGGCGACAGGAGUGCGGGAUCACGAGCUGAUCAUGAAUACAUUCUAG